GCGCCAGUCUUUUUUUAAAACACAAAGGAUCACAUUUAUUGACUAAAAACGUGAGAAAUAUUACAAUCUAUUUUAUAUGAGGGUCUGGUUGGGGCUCUUUAAUUUUUGCACUUUUUGAAUGUUUAGGACAUUUUUCGUUAUCUUUCAAAAUUAGGCUCUGGAGAAUUUCAUGAAAUUGAUUGUACUAUUUAAUUUUCAUGCAAUUUGGAGAUAUC
rnacentral:lncRNA from 1 species